AUGGUUGUUAAUCCAGCAGCUAAAAGAUGUACCUUUGAUACCUUUGAUAGUAAGAGAUAUUUUGCAAAGGAAUUCUGGAGAUUUUUGUUUUGGGUUUUUCUUUUCCUUUUUUUAGAAGAACUGGUUUAAUAAAGAUAAUUUAAGUGUAGGGAAAUAUAUUCUUCAGACCCACACUCCAUUUCAGAAGGUGGCGGUAAUGCAACCAGACCGCCAUAAAAACAACAACAAGAAGAAGAAGAAUCUAUUUGAAGGCAGCCUGCAUCAGGGCUUGCAGAAGUGAAUUAACUUUUGCGAUAAUCACAAUUUGUGCAUCCAUCUAUUACAGUUGACUGAACAAUAAUGGGAGAUCCCACAAUGCACAGAGAUUGUCCACUUGAUUGCAAGGUGUAUGUGGGCAAUCUUGGGAACAACGGCAAUAAGACAGAACUGGAGAGAGCCUUUGGCUACUACGGCCCCCUCCGUAGUGUUUGGGUGGCGAGAAAUCCUCCAGGCUUUGCCUUUGUUGAAUUUGAGGACCCGAGAGAUGCCACAGACGCUGUGAGAGAACUGGAUGGAAGAACACUGUGUGGGUGUCGUGUGAGAGUAGAGCUGUCCACUGGAGAGAAACGCUCCAGGAAUAGAGGACCACCCCCAUCAUGGAGCCGCCGCCCACGCGACGACUACAGGCGACGCAGUCCACCCCCUAGACGCCGAGACAUCACCAUGCCUCUUCACCCUCUGAGUCUGUCAACUAGUCUCCUUACUCCAUCAUGUGGCCGCUGACCGCCCGCCGCGCCCCAAUCAGCUCACAUGACCCACGCAUGGCCCAAAACAAAAACCGCCAUCGGUUCCUGAGCAUGCCACUCUCAGCCUCUUCCUCCUCCUCCUCCUCCUCCUACAACCACAGCCAGUCAGCAGCGUUGUAGCUUCCCCACAUGCCUUCAUCACAGCCAACCAGCAGCUGUCCACAGCUAACCAAUCAGAGCUCAAAAUGUACCUCUUCAGCCAACCAUAUCAGUCGACAAAGUUAACAGCUACACCAACCACAGUAACAACCAUCUGGCAAAUUCUGCCUGCAAAUUCUACCCGUCUGAUGGUCAAACUGGCUUCCGUGCAUCAUAUCCUCUGUAGCUUGUUGAGAAACUAAUCACCGAGGAGGAGGAGCUUCAGUCGAAGCCGCAGCAGGUCUCUGUCCAGAGACAGGAGACAGGAGAGGUCGCUCUCUCGUGAUGGGAACCACAAGCCUUCAAGGUCCUUUUCAAGGUCAAAGAG